UGAGCAAUCUGCCCUUCACAUCGGAAUAACCAUUGGAAACGAUGGCUAAUACCGAAUAUGACUUCGGAUCGCAUGAUCUGAAGUGGAAAGCUCCGACGGUCAAGGAUGGGCUCGCGGCCUAUCAGCUUGUUGGUGAGGUAAUGGCUCGCCAAGGCGACGACGGGUAGCCGGCCUGAGAGGGUGACCCGGCCACACUGGGACUGAGACACGGCCCAGACUCCGUAACGGG
rnacentral:rRNA from 1 species